rnacentral:rRNA from 1 species
AACGAACGCUGGCGGCAGGCCUAACACAUGCAAGUCGAGCGCCCCGCCAGGGGAGCGGCGGCCGGGUGAGUAACGCGUGGGAAUAUGCCCUUUGCUACGGAAUAGUCUCGGGAAACUGGGGGUAAUACCGUAUACGCCCUUUGGGGGAAAGAUUUAUCGGCGAAGGAUUAGCCCGCGUUGGAUUAGGUAGUUGGUGGGGUAAUGGCCUACCAAGCCGACGAUCCAUAGCUGGUUUGAGAGGAUGAUCAGCCACACUGGGACUGAGACACGGCCCAGACUCCUACGGGAGGCAGCAGUGGGGAAUCUUAGACAAGGGGGCAACCCUGAUCUAGCCAUGCCGCGUGAGUGAUGAAGGCCUUAGGGUUGUAAAGCUCUUUCAGCUGGGAAGAUAAUGACGGUACCAGCAGAAGAAGCCCCGGCUAACUCCGUG